rnacentral:rRNA from 1 species
UUCGGGCCUGCCGGCGAGUGGCGAACGGGGUGAGUAAUGCAUCGGAACGUGCCCAUGGUCGUGGGGGGAUAACGUAGCGAAAGCUACGCUAAUACCGCAUACGCCCUGAGGGGGGAAAGCGGGGGGAUUCUUCGGAACCUCGCGCGAUUGGAGCGGCCGAUGUCGGAUUAGCUAGUAGGUGAGGUAAAGGCUCACCUAGGCGACGAUCCGUAGCGGGUCUGAGAGGAUGAUCCGCCACACUGGGACUGAGACACGGCCCAGACUCCUACGGGAGGCAGCAGUGGGGAAUUUUGGACAAUGGGCGCAAGCCUGAUCCAGCCAUGCCGCGUGAGUGAAGAAGGCCUUCGGGUUGUAAAGCUCUUUCGGCCGGGAAGAAAUCGUGGUCUCUAACAUAGGCCAUGGAUGACGGUACCGGACUAAGAAGCACCGGCUAACUACGUGCCAGCAGCCGCGGUAAUACGUAGGGUGCGAGCGUUAAUCGGAAUUACUGGGCGUAAAGCGUGCGCAGGCGGUUUU